GAUGAACGCUGGCGGCGUGCCUAAUACAUGCAAGUCGAGCGAACGGACGAGAAGCUUGCUUUUCUGAUGUUAGCGGCGGACGGGUGAGUAACACGUGGAUAACCUACCUAUAAGACUGGGAUAACUUCGGGAAACCGGAGCUAAUACCGGAUAAUAUUUUGAACCGCAUGGUUCAAAAGUGAAAGACGGUCUUGCUGUCACUUAUAGAUGGAUCCGCGCUGCAUUAGCUAGUUGGUAAGGUAACGGCUUACCAAGGCAACGAUGCAUAGCCGACCUGAGAGGGUGAUCGGCCACACUGGAACUGAGACACGGUCCAGACUCCUACGGGAGGCAGCAGUAGGGAAUCUUCCGCAAUGGGCGAAAGCCUGACGGAGCAACGCCGCGUGAGUGAUGAAGGUCUUCGGAUCGUAAAACUCUGUUAUUAGGGAAGAACAUAUGUGUAAGUAACUGUGCACAUCUUGACGGUACCUAAUCAGAAAGCCACGACUAACUACGUG
rnacentral:rRNA from 1 species